CGCGUAGGCGGCUCGGUAAGUCUGGAGUGAAAGUCCUGCUUUUAAGGUGGGAAUUGCUUUGGAUACUGUCGGGCUUGAGUGCAGGAGAGGUUAGUGGAAUUCCCAGUGUAGCGGUGAAAUGCGUAGAUAUCGGGAGGAACACCAGUGGCGAAGGCGGCCUACUGGGCACCAACUGACGCUGAGGCUCGAAAGUGUGGGUAGCAAACA
rnacentral:rRNA from 1 species